UUCCCAGAGGUGGGCUCCUCAGCCGGUGUGAACCCGCCUACCAUCUGGCCUUCCCCCCAGAUUUCUAAUCCUGGUCAAAGGAGUACAGGUUGUGGGAUCCUGGGGACCUCUCAGAAGCAGCCCCCUCACUGCCACAGGGGCGGUUGAGGGGGAUUGGGAGUACUCCGGAUGGGAAACACUGCCCGCUUUUCUUGCUUCCAUUGUAAGCGGCAUCCAGAACCAUCUGCCUCUCCCCUUAGUGGUUUUCAGGGCUGCUGGUUAGGAGGCAGCUUUGUGGAAACCAGGCUUCAUGAGGCUGGGACAUCACAGAAGCCACCCAGCAUGGCGUUGACUCAAACUCUGGAGGUAAUGGAGAGAGCGCAUCAGGAUCAGAAACAGCCAUGUGGACGCGCUUCCCCGUACAGCCUGCACCCAUGGGACCUGCGGUGGGCCCUUCCCUUUAGAUGUUUAGCUUCUGUAGAAGAUUCAGGAAGCCUGUGCUCCUGGGGUGGGGAAAGGAAGGGAUUGGAUUGUCCCUGGCUCUGAACAUAGAAGACACUUGUCUUGGUAGAAACUGGUGAUUUGGGAGGAAGCCUUAAUUUUAUCACAGUUCACUGCGUUUCUGGGAUAAUAAAAUGAGAAAUACUGAAUUUUAAAGAA